rnacentral:rRNA from 1 species
UUCCGGUUGAUCCUGCCGGACCCCACUGCUAUCGAGGUGAGACUUAGCCAGGCCAGUCGAACGACUCGGACUAUGGCGAGAAGUGGCAAACUGCUCAGUAACACGUAGCUAACCUACCCUCAGGACGGAGACAACCCCGGGAAACUGGGGUUAAUCCCUGAUAGGCGUGGAUUCCUGGAAUGGUGUCACGCCGAAACGUUAACACACCAUGUUUGUGUAUACGCCUGAGGAUGGGGCUGCGGCCGAUCAGGCAGUUGGUGAGGUAACGGCUCACCAAACCUUUGACCGGUACGGGCCGUGAGAGCGGUAGCCCGGAGAUGGACACUGAGACAAGGGUCCAGGACCUACGGGUCGCAGCCGGUACGAAACCUCCACAAUGCACGAAAGUGCGAUGGGGUUACCUCGAGUGCCGUCUGAAGAAGGCGGCUUUUCCAUUGUGUAAUGAGCCGUGGGAAUAAGGGGGGGGCAAGACUGGUGUCAGCCGCCGCGGUAACACCAGCCCCCCGAGUGGUGGGGAUGUUUAUUUGGCCUAAAACGUCCGUAGCCAGCUAGGUAAAUCUUUCGUUAAAUCCAGCGUCCUAAGCGUUGGGCUGCGAGAGAGACUGCCAAGCUAGAGGGUGGGAGAGGUCAGCGGUAUUUCUGGGGUAGGGGCGAAAUCCAUUGAUCCCAGGAGGACCACCAGUGGCGAAGGCUGCUGACUAGAACACGCCUGACGGUGAGGGACGAAAGCUGGGGUAGCGAAUCGGAUUAGAUACCCGAGUAGUCCCAGCCGUAAACGAUGCAGGCUAGGUGUUGGGUUGGCCACGUGCCGACUCAGUGCCACAGGGAAGCCAUUAAGCCUGCUGCCUGGGGAGUACGGUCCGCAAGGCUGAAACUUAAAGGAAUUGGGCGGGAGAGCACCACCAGGCCGUGAAGCCUGCGGUUUAAUUGGAGUCAACGCCGGA